AGUGAACGCUGGCGGUAGGCCUAACACAUGCAAGUCGAACGGCAGCACAGUAAGAGCUUGCUCUUACGGGUGGCGAGUGGCGGACGGGUGAGGAAUACAUCGGAAUCUACUUUUUGUGGGGGGUUACGGAAGGAAACUUACGCCUAUACCGCAUAAGAACUUCCGGGGGAAGCCAGGGGACCUUGGACCUUGGGCGGAUAAAUUAACCGGAUUCCGGAUUAGCUAGUUGGCGGGGUAAAGGCCCACCAAGGCGACGAUCCGUAGCUGGUCUGAGAGGAUGAUCAGCCACACUGGAACUGAGACACGGUCCAGACUCCUACGGGAGGCAGCAGUGGGGAAUAUUGGACAAUGGGCGCAAGCCUGAUCCAGCCAUACCGCGUGGGUGAAGAAGGCCUUCGGGUUGUAAAGCCCUUUUGUUGGGAAAGAAAAGCAGCAGGUUAAUACCCCGCUGUUCUGACGGUACCCAAAGAAUAAGCACCGGCUAACUUCGUG
rnacentral:rRNA from 1 species